rnacentral:tRNA from 1 species
GCCGGUAUGGUGAAAUUGGUAGACACGUUGGACUCAAAAUCCAAUGCCCUUAAAAGCGUGUCGGUUCGAGUCCGACUACCGGUACCA